rnacentral:rRNA from 1 species
CAGCAGCCGCCGCGGUAAAACGGAGGGUGCAAGCGUUACUCGGAAUCACUGGGCGUAAAGGACGCGUAGGCGGAUUAUCAAGUCUCUUGUGAAAUCUAACGGCUUAACCGUUAAACUGCUUGGGAAACUGAUAAUCUAGAGUAAGGGAGAGGCAGAUGGAAUUCUUGGUGUAGGGGUAAAAUCCGUAGAUAUCAAGAAGAAUACCUAUUGCGAAGGCGAUCUGCUGGAACUUAACUGACGCUAAUGCGUGAAAGCGUGGGGAGCAAACAGGAUUAGAUACCCCAGUAGUCCCUGUCUCUUAUAC